UGUAAAUUCUUCCCCAGUAAAAAUAAUGACGGUCACUGUAAAAGAAGCUCCGGCUAAUUCCGUGCCCCACCCGCGGUAAUACGGAGGGAGCUAGCGUUGUUCGGAAUUAUUGGGCGUAAAGCGCGCGUAGGCGGAUUAUUAAUUUAGAGGUGAAAUCCCGGGGCUCACCCCCGGAACUGCCUUUGAUACUGGUAGUCUAGAGGUCGAGAGAGGUGAUUGGAAUUCCGAGUGUAGAGGUGAAAUUCUUAAAUAUUCGGAGGAACACCAGUGGCGAAGGCGGCUCACUGGCUCUAUACUGCCCCUGAGGUGCGAAAGUGUGGGUAGAAAACAGGAUUAAAUAUGCUGGUAGUCCCCCCCGAAAACGAUGAAUGUUAGUCGUUGGGGGAUUCCUCCUUGGGUGACCCAACUAACGCAUUAUCCUUUCUGCCUGGGGAGUACGGCCGAAAGAAUUAAACUCUAGGUUUGGGCGGGGGCU
rnacentral:rRNA from 1 species